UAGCAGUUAACUAACUGUUCUUUCAGAAGUC
rnacentral:piRNA from 1 species